rnacentral:rRNA from 1 species
GAUGAACGCUAGCUACAGGCUUAACACAUGCAAGUCGAGGGGAAACGACAUCGAAAGCUUGCUUUUGAUGGGCGUCGACCGGCGCACGGGUGAGUAACGCGUAUCCAACCUGCCCACCACUUGGGGAUAACCUUGCGAAAGUAAGACUAAUACCCGAUGAUAUCUCUAUAAGACAUCUGAAAGGGAUUAAAGAUUUAUCGGUGAUGGAUGGGGAUGCGUCUGAUUAGUUUGUUGGCGGGGGUAACGGCCCACCAAGGCAACGAUCAGUAGGGGUUCUGAGAGGAAGGUCCCCCACAUUGGAACUGAGACACGGUCCAAACUCCUACGGGAGGCAGCAGUGAGGAAUAUUGGUCAAUGGGCGAGAGCCUGAACCAGCCAAGUAGCGUGCAGGACGACGGCCCUAUGGGUUGUAAACUGCUUUUAUAAGGGAAUAAAGUGAGUCUCGUGAGACUUUUUGCAUGUACCUUAUGAAUAAGGACCGGCUAAUUCCGUG